CGCAGCCGCGGUAAUUCCAGCUCCAAUAGCGUAUAUUAAAGUUGUUGCAGUUAAAAAGCUCGUAGUUGAAUUUCGGGAUCAGCGCGUCGGUCGUGCCUCCGGUAUGCACUGGCGCCGCUGGUUUCUCCCUUCUGAGGAACCGUGAUGUCAUUAAUUUGGUGUCGCGGGAAAUCAGGACUGUUACUUUGAAAAAAUUAGAGUGUUUAAAGCGGGCACGCGCUUGAAUACAUUAGCAUGGAAUAACGAAAUAGGACGUUCGAUCUUAUUUUGUUGGUUUCUAGGAUUGACGUAAUGAUUAAUAGGGAUAGUUGGGGGCAUUAGUAUUCAAUUGUCAGAGGUGAAAUUCUUGGAUUUAUUGAAGACUAACUACUGCGAAAGCAUUUGCCAAGGAUGUUUUCAUUAAUCAAGAACGAAAGUUAGGGGAUCGAAGACGACCAGAUACCGUCGUAGUCUUAACCAUAAACUAUGCCGACUAGGGAUCGGAUGAUGUUAAUUUUAUAAUGACUCAUUCGGCGCCUUA
rnacentral:rRNA from 1 species